rnacentral:tRNA from 1 species
GGGUAUAGCUCAAGCGGUAGAGUGCAUGCUUAGCAUGCAUGAGGUCCUGGGUUCAAUUCCCAGUUCGUCCU